rnacentral:rRNA from 1 species
CCUACAGGCGGCUGCAGUGGGGGAUAUUGCACAAUGGGGGAAACCCUGAUGCAGCGACGCCGCGUGUGGGAAGACGGUCCUCUGGAUUGUAAACCACUGUCCCCAGGGACGAAGAUGACGGUACCUGGGGAGGAAGCUCCGGCUAACUACGUGCCAGCAGCCGCGGUAAUACGUAGGGAGCGAGCGUUGUCCGGAAUUACUGGGUGUAAAGGGAGCGUAGGCGGGACUGCAAGUUGGGUGUCAAAUCUCCCGGCUCAACCGGUAGCCGCACUCAAAACUGCAGUUCUUGAGUGAAGUAGAGGCAGGCGGAAUUGCUAGUGUAGCGGUGAAAUGCGUAGAUAUUAGGAGGAACACCAGUGGCGAAGGCGGCCUGCUGGGCUUUUACUGACGCUGAGGCUCGAAAGUGUGGGGAGCAAACAGGAUUAGAUACCCUUGUAGUC